rnacentral:rRNA from 1 species
GAUGAACGCUGGCGGCGGGCCUAACACAUGCAAGUCGAGCGAAGAGAGGUGGCUUGCUCCUGUCUUCAGUGGCGGACGGGUGCGUGAUUCCUAGGAGUAUGCCUGGUGUUGGUGACUGAGGUCCGAAAGCGGGCGCUGAUACCGCAUACGUCCUGAGAUAGAAAGUCGGGGUUCUUCGGAGCUCACGGGAUCAGAUGACACUAGGUCGGAUUAGCUAGUGGGUGGGGUAAAGGCCUACCAAGGCGACGAUCCGUAACUGGUCUGAGAGGAUGAUCCGCCACACUGGAACUGAGACACGGUCCAGACUCCUACGGGAGGCAGCAGUGGGGAAUAUUGGGCAAUGGGCGAAAGCCUGAUGGAGCAAGGCCGCGUGUGUGAAGAAGGUCUUCGGAUGGUAAAGCCCUUUAAUUGGGGAGGAAGGGCAGUAUGUGAAUACCUUGAUGUUUUGACGGUACCAAAAGAGAAAGCAACGGCUAACUACGUG